rnacentral:tRNA from 1 species
GGGGCUGUGGUGUAGCUUGGACUAUCACUUGGCGUUCGGGGCGCCACAACCUGGGUUCAAAUCCCAGCAGCCCCA